GGGGCAUUUACGACUCACCUGGAACCACACAGGUUGUUAAGAGUGAGGGCUAGAAUUUGGGUGACCUGUCUCCCAGGAGCCACGCAACCUCUCUGUGAAUGAAGGUGGAAUUCCAUGAUUUGAUAAUUACAUGGGACUGUAUCUCUCCCCUGGACUUUGGCCAUCUUUCCCACCGUUCAGAGAAAAUACGACUUGUUUCUAGACCUGAUAUUCAUCCAGCAUGCACCAGGAUGGAUGGAAGAUAAAAUACUGAAAUGUUUCCACACUGGUUGACAGGACUGAGACCCUCUGAGCCAGCACUGUAGAAUCCCAGAAGCAGCACAGUGCCUUCCAUCUGAGCUUCUGAAGUACAUUUCACACAUAGCACCUUCAGAAGGAACAGGAAGGAGAGACACUUUUCCUGACUUCGCCCAUGAGGAGAAGGAAGCACAGAGAUGUGAAGCUGCCUUGUCACUCGCACAGCUGAGACAGACCCAAGCCUAGCCUUCCCCCCUCCACAGGGAUAACCGUUAGAACUGCCAACUCUGUCCCAACGGGCAGUGAGGAGAUCUGACAGGAUUACGUCAUGUGCUCUGUAACUGGGAGACACAUUUAUGAGCUGACAACCAGAGAGGCUGGUGUCAUAGAGGAAGGAGGGUUACCAAGUGCUGCCUUUUGAUAAUAAAGGUUUCGUCUGUCUAGGCUGCCUGUCUCCAAGCACUCUGGCCAAAAACAGACAUGCAAUCACUCCCCUCCCCAAGGCGCUGGUGGGGAAG
rnacentral:lncRNA from 1 species